rnacentral:lncRNA from 1 species
UUUGAAAGGAAUAUGUACAGCAGCUGCAGCCAGGUCUCUCAACCCACUAUCGCAGCACACAGCUCCAACCAGUUAGCGGUCAUGUUUCCUAGACCUUUCAUCAUUGUGUCGACUUUCUCCAAUUUCGCCACGUCUUUCCUGAAAUGUGGCUCCCAGAACUGGACACAAUUCUCCAACUGAGGCCUAAUCAGCGCGGAGCAGAGCGGAAGAAUUACUACUCGUGUCUUGCUUACAACACUCCUGCUAAUACAGCCCAGAAGGAUGUCUGCUUUUUUUGCAACAGCGUUACACUGUUGACUCAUAUUUAGCUUGUGACCCACUCUGACCCCCAGAUCCCUUUCCACACUACUGCUUCCUGGGCAAUCAUUUCCCAGUCUGGAUGUGCAUAAUACAAUAUGCUUUUUUCAUGCCGCUUAAAGAGAUGCUUCAGCACGCUCAGCCCCAGGGGGAGGGUGUUCAGGAUUGGAUCUGAACAUUGGAGCUAGCCCCUAGUCUGCAAUGGGGCCUAGAGACCCCUAUGCAAAGAACCCGUAGCUUGGGGAGCAUGGCCAAUGUGGAGUUAGAGCAGAGGGAGCAAGUCCUGCUCCCACUAAAGUCAACAGCAACCCCCCAGCCGUGACCUCAGAAGGGUCGGCCCAUAAGAUGAGGACAAAGAAACCUGAGGGAGAGGGAGGGAGAACAAGGGUUGAGGCACUGCCCACCAAGGAAAGCAGGGGCUGGGAAGCUGACUGUAAUUCACCAGACCCAGCUCUGGUCAGUGUAUAUCUGGGGUGACACCAGAUUGUCCCUAGUGUAACCGAGAUCAGAAUCCAGCCCUGACCCAUUGCAGUCAGUGUCUCUGGAUUGACCCUGGUUAAACAAGAUCAGAAACUGACCCACUAUCUUUAAAACAGCUAAGCGUCCGGCACAGGCCAUCUUGCACUGGGGUUCUGCGUAUCUGGGUCCCAAUCUGAUGCCUCAGGUUUGACAAAGUGACCCCGUGACCUUGGGACAGCCAGCAGCAGCCCCUUCAGGCUGCCUGCAUGUGCCUCGGGGGCAGGGGCUAGUUCUGAGAGGAAGAACUCUGGCUGCUUCUCUGGCUGGUUGACUAAUGAGCCUGGGGC